rnacentral:rRNA from 1 species
GGGCCCGCACAAGCAGUGGAGUAUGUGGUUUAAUUCGAAGCAACGCGAAGAACCUUACCAGGGCUUGACAUCUACCGGAUCCUGUAGAGAUACGGGAGUGCCUUUUGGAGCGGUAAGACAGGUGGUGCAUGGUUGUCGUCAGCUCGUGUCGUGAGAUGUUGGGUUAAGUCCCGCAACGAGCGCAACCCUUGUUGUUAGUUGCUACCAUUAAGUUGAGCACUCUAGCGAGACUGCCGGUGACAAAUCGGAGGAAGGUGGGGAUGACGUCAAAUCAUCAUGCCCCUUAUGUCCUGGGCUACACACGUACUACAAUGGCUGUUAACAGAGGGAAGCGAAGCAGCGAUGCGGAGCAAAUCCCCAAAAGCAGUCUCAGUUCGGAUUGUAGGCUGCAACUCGCCUACAUGAAGUCGGAAUUGCUAGUAAUCGCAAAUCAGCAUGUCGCGGUGAAUACGUUCCCGGGCCUU